CGGGGGGCAUGCCUUACCAUGCAAGUCGAACGGCAGCGGGGGUAGCUUGCUACCUGCCGGCGAGUGGCGAACGGGUGAGUAAUACAUCGGAACGUGCCCUGUAGUGGGGGAUAACUAGUCGAAAGACUAGCUAAUACCGCAUACGACCUGAGGGUGAAAGUGGGGGACCGCAAGGCCUCAUGCUAUAGGAGCGGCCGAUGUCUGAUUAGCUAGUUGGUGGGGUAAAGGCCCACCAAGGCGACGAUCAGUAGCUGGUCUGAGAGGACGAUCAGCCACACUGGGACUGAGACACGGCCCAGGCUYCUACGGGAGGCAGCAGUGGGGAAUUUUGGACAAUGGGGGCAACCCUGAUCCAGCAAUGCCGCGUGUGUGAAGAAGGCCUUCGGGUUGUAAAGCACUUUUGUCCGGAAAGAAAUCGCACUGGUUAAUACCUGGUGUGGAUGACGGUACCGGAAGAAUAAGGACCGGCUAACUACGUGCCAGCAGCCGCGGUAAUACGUAGGGUCCAAGCGUUAAUCGGAAUUACUGGGCGUAAAGCGUGCGCAGGCGGUUGUGCAAGACCGAUGUGAAAUCCCCGGGCUUAACCUGGGAAUUGCAUUGGUGACUGCACGGCUAGAGUGUGUCAGAGGGAGGUAGAAUUCCACGUGUAGCAGUGAAAUGCGUAGAGAUGUGGAGGAAUACCGAUGGCGAAGGCAGCCUCCUGGGAUAACACUGACGCUCAUGCACGAAAGCGUGGGGAGCAAACAGGAUUAGAUACCCUGGUAGUCCACGCCCUAAACGAUGUCAACUAGUUGUUGGGGAUUCAUUUCCUUAGUAACGUAGCUAACGCGUGAAGUUGACCGCCUGGGGAGUACGGUCGCAAGAUUAAAACUCAAAGGAAUUGACGGGGACCCGCACAAGCGGUGGAUGAUGUGGAUUAAUUCGAUGCAACGCGAAAAACCUUACCUACCCUUGACAUGCCACUAACGAAGCAGAGAUGCAUUAGGUGCUCGAAAGAGAAAGUGGACACAGGUGCUGCAUGGCUGUCGUCAGCUCGUGUCGUGAGAUGUUGGGGUUAAGUCCCGCAACGAGCGCAACCCUUGUCUCUAGUUGCUACGAAAGGGCACUCUAGAAGAGACUGCCCGGUGACAAACCGGAGGAAGGUGGGGAUGACGUCAAGUCCUCAUGGCCCUUAUGGGUAGGGCUUCACACGUCAUACAAUGGUGCAUACAGAGGGUUGCCAAGCCGCGAGGUGGAGCUAAUCCCAGAAAAUGCAUCGUAGUCCGGAUCGUAGUCUGCAACUCGACUACGUGAAGCUGGAAUCGCUAGUAAUCGCGGAUCAGCAUGCCGCGGUGAAUACGUUCCCGGGUCUUGUACACACCGCCCGUCACACCAUGGGAGUGGGCUUUACCAGAAGUAGUUAGCCUAACCGUAAGGAGGGCGAUACCACGGGUAUG
rnacentral:rRNA from 2 species